rnacentral:misc_RNA from 1 species
AUGGGAAUUCCUUCUUCUCCGCUUUUAUAACCACGUGCAACCUCUAUCAUCACACUCUUGUGAAACACCCAUUUGGAAACAAAUACCCAAAAAAUGUCAUAGAAGAAAGCACAAGUAAGAAGAACUGUUCCCACCUUGAGAUUGGGAACUCGUAUGAUCUGAAGAACAGUGAUGAUCAAUGCCAUACCAAGUAUGUCUUGACCUAUCCAAGCAAAGGAG